rnacentral:lncRNA from 1 species
AUGGGGUCACAGAGUCGGACACGACUGAGCAACUGAACUGAACUGAACUGGGCUUAGAUUUAUGCCUCCGCAGGUGCAGCUCAGAUCAGAAGCCGUCUCUGCUUCCACUCACCCCUUCCAUUACCCUCUCCUGUGUACCAUUUCUACAUGAAACCUGUGAGCUCAAACCCCUCCUCCCACAUUCCAUGUAUCUUUGUGGAGACUUGCUGUUGUAUUAAAACAGGCAGGUGCUUUCAUCAGCAUCAGAACAGGACAUCCAUCCACUAGGACCAUAACAGCAGAGAUUUCCUGAAAAGUUACAAAAUUUCACAGUCACCCUGAAAAUUGCGCGAAACUGUGAGAAAAGAUGGUGGAACCACAGGUGGAUAGUUCUUGGAACUGCUCAAACAGUAAAUAGAAACAUUUAAAAAUACUAGAAACUUACACAACAUUGUUAGUCAACUAUACUCCAAUAUAUUUUUUUAUAAAAUGUCAAAACCCUCCAAAACAAAAUACCGGAAAGGAAGGGACAGAAACCUUUUAAAAUAACUGCUACAAAGCCGUAAAAUGCAAACACAUUCAGUUCAAAAUCUUUUCAUGCUGAAGAAGUGAGAAAAAGGGCUUAAACUGGACAGUUUCCUCUACAAUAGAAAGUACAAUACCCACUUAUUGCUACUGAAUACACUGGCUGUUAUGCAAACAUGUCAUUGAACCUCGUACAAUGAUUUUUCUGUUUUACAAUUAAGCAGUUCUAUACAAUGCCUAAGACUCUGGAGGAACAUUAUUCAGCUGAAUUAUCAUUCCUGGCUCACCAUAAAAAUUGCUAAAAUGUGUAGAACUUGCUUUAGGUUAGGAGACCCCUUUCAGCCUUCUGGUAGCUCUGAGUUAUAUAAGUGAGGUCAACUCUCAAAUGCCCAAAGUCGAUAAUCAGUUUGUGAAUUAUACAGACUCUGGUGGUGGUUUUUUCCCUUCAUCUCAUCCCCAUCUCUUCGCCUUUUUGUUACUUUGUUUCUGCUUGCCAGCUGGACUGUGCUUCAGCGUCUCUAAGAGAGAAUGGGAAGCGGAGUGAAAAAAAACUGAAUAAAACACAACAAACAGCCAUUUCUUUUAAAGCC